GUACAUUAGUGCUUACGCACAACAAUAUUUCAUUACAUUCGAGUGGGUGUAAAAAUUCCUCUGCCGGCCAAGGCCAGCAAGAGGCCAAAGGUUCACAGGGUAUUGGAUGAAAAGCGGCCAACGUGCACUUGCCAGAGCUGGCCAGCACUGAAGACAACGAUUCGCAAUCAAUAAUGAUCCUUCCGCAGGUUCACCUACGGAAA
rnacentral:misc_RNA from 1 species